rnacentral:rRNA from 1 species
ACGGAAGGCAGCAGUGGGGAAUAUUGGACAAUGGGGGAAACCCUGAUCCAGCGACGCCGCGUGAGUGAAGAAGUAUUUCGGUAUGUAAAGCUCUAUCAGCAAGGAAGAAAAUGACGGUACUUGACUAAGAAGCCCCGGCUAACUACGUGCCAGCAGCCGCGGUAAUACGUAGGGGGCAAGCGUUAUCCGGAUUUACUGGGUGUAAAGGGAGCGUAGACGGCAUAGCAAGUCUGAAGUGAAAUGCAUGGGCUCAACCCAUGAACUGCUUUGGAAACUGUUAAGCUAGAGUGCAGGAGAGGUAAGUGGAAUUCCUAGUGUAGCGGUGAAAUGCGUAGAUAUUAGGAGGAACACCAGUGGCGAAGGCGGCUUACUGGGCUGUAACUGACGUUGAGGCUCGAAAGCGUGGGGAGCAAACAGGAUUAGAUACCCUGGUA